UGGGGAAUAUUGCACAAUGGGCGCAAGCCUGAUGCAGCAACGCCGCGUGAGGGAUGACGGCCUUCGGGUUGUAAACCUCUUUUAGUAGGGAAGAAGCGAAAGUGACGGUACCUGCAGAAAAAGCACCGGCUAACUACGUGCCAGCAGCCGCGGGAAUACGUAGGGUGCAAGCGUUGUCCGGAAUUAUUGGGCGUAAAGAGCUCGUAGGCGGCUUGUCGCGUCUGCUGUGAAAACCAGAGGCUCAACCUCUGGCCUGCAGUGGGUACGGGCAAGCUAGAGUGCGGUAGGGGAGAUUGGAAUUCCUGGUGUAGCGGUGGAAUGCGCAGAUAUCAGGAGGAACACCGAUGGCGAAGGCAGAUCUCUGGGCCGUAACUGACGCUGAGGAGCGAAAGCAUGGGGAGCGAACA
rnacentral:rRNA from 1 species